UAAAUGUGUUUCACGAUAUGAUUUAUUGUUAUAAACAAGGUCGAUUGAAGAUCGAUAGGAAAGAUCAACCUUAUGUUUAAGAUUACCAAUAUAAACCUCUGAAGAACAAGAUAGAUAGUGUGUAUUGACUUCGAUAUUGUAAAGUUGAUUAUAUUUUGAACAAGGAAGUGGAAUAGUUGGAAGCUCUGCUAAAGUGAUCUAUACAUGCAGCGGACCGGAGCUAUUUGAACACAUUUGAUAGAGGGUCGUCCGAUUAUCCUUUCCUGUGAAGUUUUGUUAAAAUCUGCAUACCGAAUAAGGAGAUGUCUUUUGCAUGAAAAGUUGACGCAAGACGGACGACCUACGACUGGCAAAAGGCAGACCCAAAUUAACUACACCUUCGUAUUGAACAAAUUUUUAUCAACAUGGGCAACAGUUCAGGAAAAGGGGGCAAUUUCAAACGUGAUAAACGGGAUGAAGGUACAGGGCAUGUCCCUACGAUACAAGCUGAUGGAAGGACCGCAAUACCAGAUGAUUCUACAAAAAUGCCUGAACCAAGACCAAAAAAGCCGAAGGAUCUUCCAGAUCCAGCAUUAGGAUCGUCCCAGUCUGGUCGCGAAUAAAACUCUGCCAUUUUAUA